UACGAAGGGGGCGAGCGUUGUUCGGAUUUACUGGGCGUAAAGGGCGCGCAGGCGGCUUUGUUUGUCAGGCGUGAAAGCCCCGGGCUUAACCUGGGAAUGGCAUUGGAAACUGGCGGGCUUGAGUGCGGCAGAGGGGGGUGGAAUUCCGCGUGUAGCAGUGAAAUGCGUAGAGAUGCGGAGGAACACCGAUGGCGAAGGCAGCCCCCUGGGUCGACACUGACGCUCAGGCACGAAAGCGUGGGGAGCAAACAGG
rnacentral:rRNA from 1 species